CUCUUAUCCCGAGCUGGUGGAGGGACAGGCCCUAUGAAACCCAGCAACCUGCUCUGCAAAAAAGUCUUCAUGACUUUUGCGAUUCACUCACUAUAGAGCGAAGGUGCUAACCUGUAGCAGGGCUUCUCUGCCUUGAACGAUAAGAG
rnacentral:ncRNA from 1 species